AACGACUCUCGGCAACGGAUAUCUCGGCUCUCGCAUCGAUGAAGAACGUAGCGAAAUGCGAUACUUGGUGUGAAUUGCAGAAUCCCGUGAACCAUCGAGUCUUUGAACGCAAGUUGCGCCCGAAGCCAUCAGGUCGGAGGGCACGUCUGCCUGGGCGUCACACG
rnacentral:rRNA from 1 species